AUUGAACGCUGGCGGCAUGCCUUACACAUGCAAGUCGAACGGCAGCACGGGUGCUUGCACCUGGUGGCGAGUGGCGAACGGGUGAGUAAUACAUCGGAACAUGUCCUGUAGUGGGGGAUAGCCCGGCGAAAGCCGGAUUAAUACCGCAUACGAUCUACGGAUGAAAGCGGGGGACCUUCGGGCCUCGCGCCAUAGGGUUGGCCGAUGGCUGAUUAGCUAGUUGGUGGGGUAAAGGCCUACCAAGGCGACGAUCAGUAGAUGGUCUGAGAGGACGACCAGCCACACUGGGACUGAGACACGGCCCAGACUCCUACGGGAGGCAGCAGUGGGGAAUUUUGGACAAUGGGCGAAAGCCUGAUCCAGCAAUGCCGCGUGUGUGAAGAAGGCCUUCGGGUUGUAAAGCACUUUUGUCCGGAAAGAAAUCCUUGGCUCUAAUACAGUCGGGGGAUGACGGUACCGGAAGAAUAAGCACCGGCUAACUACGUG
rnacentral:rRNA from 1 species